rnacentral:rRNA from 1 species
ACGCGUGGGAACGUACCUUUUGGUUCGGAACAACACAGGGAAACUUGUGCUAAUACCGGAUAAGCCCUUACGGGGAAAGAUUUAUCGCCGAAAGAUCGGCCCGCGUCUGAUUAGCUAGUUGGUGAGGUAAUGGCUCACCAAGGCGACGAUCAGUAGCUGGUCUGAGAGGAUGAUCAGCCACAUUGGGACUGAGACACGGCCCAAACUCCUACGGGAGGCAGCAGUGGGGAAUAUUGGACAAUGGGCGCAAGCCUGAUCCAGCCAUGCCGCGUGAGUGAUGAAGGCCCU